AUGGCUGUCGUCAGCUCGUGUCGUGAGAUGUUGGGUUAAGUCCCGCAACGAGCGCAACCCUCGCUAUCAGUUGCCAGCAUUUAGUUGGGCACUCUGAUGGAACUGCCGGUGAUAAGCCGGAGGAAGGUGGGGAUGACGUCAAGUCCUCAUGGCCCUUACGGGCUGGGCUACACACGUGCUACAAUGGCGGUGACAGUGGGUUGCUACCUUGCAAGAGGAAGCUAAUCCCCAAAAACCGUCUCAGUUCGGAUUGUUCUCUGCAACUCGAGAGCAUGAAGUUGGAAUCGCUAGUAAUCGUGGAUCAGCGUGCCACGGUGAAUACGUUCUCGGGCCUUGUACACACCGCCCGUCACACCAUGGGAGUUGGUUUUACCUUAAGCCGGUGCGCUAACCUUCGGGAAGCAGCCGACCACGGUAAGGUCAGCGACUGGGGUGAAGUCGUAACAAGGUAGCCGUAGGGGAACCUGCGGCUGGAUCACCUCCUUUCAAGGAAAGAUUUCGAAGAUUGCAGGAUUUUCCUGGGAUGUAUUGAAGUCUAUACCUUUACAAUACUUAGAGCACUAAUAUCUGCCGCCGUCUUCGUAUCCCUUUCCAAUUUGCCCGAUCUAAACAGAAUAUUUGUGGGUCUAUCAUAAGUAUUCGUUUGAGCAGGACAUGGUCCGAUCAUUCGGGCCUGUAGCUCAGCCCGGUUAGAGCGCACGCCUGAUAAGCGUGAGGUCGGAAGUUCAAGUCUUCCCAGGCCCACCAGUUUUUAUUAUCGGGGGCGUAGCUCAGUUGGGAGAGCGGUAGCUUUGCAAGCUUCAGGUCGUCGGUUCGAUCCCGUCCGCCUCCACCAUUUUUGGUGUGAUCCAUAUUCUAUCAUUUCGUUUUAACGAUGGCGUUAUUACGACGGCAAAUUAUAAGAGAAAAAUAAUUCAGAGUAGUUAUUAAUAGCUACUCUGUAUGCUCUUUUUCAUUGUGAAUAGGUCAAUUAAUAUUACAUCUAAUUAAUCGCAAAUUAAGUUCAAUUUUUGUUGAGCUGAGUUAAAAGUCUUCGCAUGGAUAAAAUAUUAUAAAUAUGGAACAUAGCUUGUUUUCAUGUGUGUGAUGUUUGAAUUUGUCCCUGCGUAUGAUGAGAUCUCAAGUAUAAGAAGGGCAUUUGGUGAAUGCCUUGGCACUAAGAGGCGAUGAAGGACGUAGCACGCUGCGAUAAGCUGUGGGGAGGUGCGAGCAACCUUUGAUCCGCAGAUUUCCGAAUGGGGAAACCCGG
rnacentral:sRNA from 1 species